rnacentral:rRNA from 1 species
AACGAACGCUGGCGGCAUGCCUAACACAUGCAAGUCGAACGAGACCUUCGGGUCUAGUGGCGCACGGGUGCGUAACGCGUGGGAACCUGCCCUUAGGUUCGGAAUAACUCCCCGAAAGGGGUGCUAAUACCGGAUAAUGUCUUCGGACCAAAGAUUUCUCGCCUUUGGGUGGGCCCGCGUUGGAUUAGCUGGUUGGUAGGGUAAAAGCCUACCAAGGCGACGAUCCAUAGCUGGUCGGAGAGGAUGAUCAGCCACACUGGGACUGAGACACGGCCCAGACUGGUACGGGAGGGAGCAGUGGGGUAUAUUGGACGAGGGGCGAAAGCCUGAUACAGCAAUGCCGCGGGAGUGAUGAAGGCCUUAGGGUUGUAAAGCUCUUUUACACGGGAUGAUAAUGACAGUACCGGGAGAAUAAGCUCCGGCUAACUCCGUG